CGGGGGGAGCAAGCGUUGUUCGGAUUUACUGGGCGUAAAGGGCGCGUAGGCGGCGUGACAAGUCACUUGUGAAAUCUCCGGGCUUAACCCGGAGCGGCCAAGUGAUACUGUCGUGCUAGAGUGCGGAAGGGGCUACUGGAAUUCUCGGUGUAGCGGUGAAAUGCGUAGAUAUCGAGAGGAACACCUGCGGCGAAGGCGGGUAGCUGGGCCGACACUGACGCUGAGGCGCGAAAGCCAGGGGAGCGAACGGGAUUAGAUACCCCGGUAGUCCUGGCCUUAAACGAUGGAUGCUUGGUGUCCGGGGUUACAUAGUCCCCGGGUGCCGGCGCUAACGCAUUAAGCAUCCCGCCUGGGGAGUACGGUCGCAAGACUG
rnacentral:rRNA from 1 species